rnacentral:rRNA from 1 species
GAUGAACGCUGGCGGCGUGCUUAACACAUGCAAGUCGAACGAAGCACUUUAUUUGAUUUCCUUCGGGACUGAUUAUUUUGUGACUGAGUGGCGGACGGGUGAGUAACGCGUGGGUAACCUGCCUUGUACAGGGGGAUAACAGUUGGAAACGGCUGCUAAUACCGCAUAAGCGCACAGCAUCGCAUGAUGCAGUGUGAAAAACUCCGGUGGUGUAAGAUGGACCCGCGUUGGAUUAGCUAGUUGGUGAGGUAACGGCCCACCAAGGCGACGAUCCAUAGCCGACCUGGGAGGGGGGCCGGCACAAUUGGGGGUGGACACCGCGCCGAACCCCUGGGGGAGGCAGGAGGGGGGAAUUUGGAAAAAGGGGGGAAAGCUUAAUGCAGCCACGCCGGGGAGGAAAAGAGGUAUUUGGGUAGAAAAAGCUCUCUAAGAAGGGAAAAAAAGGAGGGACCCGAAUAAAAAGCCCCCGGUAAAAUAGGG